GAUGAAGAACGUAGCGAAAUGCGAUAAGUAAUGUGAAUUGCAGAAUUCAGUGAAUCAUCGAAUCUUUGAACGCACAUUGCGCCCAUUAGUAUUCUAGUGGGCAUGCCUGUUCGAGCGUCAUUAAGUCCACUUAAGCCCUGCUUAGUGUUGGGAGACUGCUCCAGCGGUGCUACCCUGUAGCUACCCUGCAGCUCCUCAAAGACAGCGGCGGAGUUGUGGUAUCCUCUGAGCUUAGUAACUUGUUCUAGCUUUCGAGUACACCACUUCCCCUGCCGUAAAACCCUUAAUUUUUAAUGGUUGACCUCGAAUCAGGUAGGACUACCCGCUGAACUUAAGCAUAUCAAUAAGCGGAGGA
rnacentral:misc_RNA from 1 species